rnacentral:tRNA from 1 species
GGGAGUGUGGCAGAGUGGUCCAUUGCACCUGGCUGUAGAUCAGCAAAUCCCAGGGUUCAAAACCCUCUCCUCCCA